rnacentral:rRNA from 1 species
AUGCUGAGGCAGGGCCACCACGGCGACGGCGGCGGUGGCGGGUGCGAGGGUGGCGCCUUCUACACCUACGACGCGUUCGUGGAGGCCGCGAGCACGUUCCGCGGCUUCGGCACCACCGGCGACCAGGCCACCCGCCGCCGGGAGCUCGCCGCCUUCUUCGCGCAGACCUCCCACGAGACAACCGGUUACUGCUGGGUGAAGCAGCGGAGUCCGGCCGGCGAUCGGUACUACGGGCGAGGCCCCAUGCAACUCACUCAUGAGCACAACUUCCGUCGAGCCGGGGACGCGCUGGGGCUGGACCUGCCUGCUGGGGAGGCCGGACCUGGUGUCGACCGACCCCGUGGUGGCCUUCAAGACGGCCAUCUGGUUCUGGAUGACGCCGCGACAUGGGGCGCAGAAGAUGCCGUCGUGCCACGCCGUGAUGACCGGCGGCUGGAGGCCGUCGCGCCGGGAGGCUCCCCGGGUACGGCAUGA